UCACCCCUCAAGCCCUCGGCUUGGUGUUGGACGGUUUGGUGGAGACCCCUUUGCGGGCUGCUACCCCUCCCAAAGACAAUGACGGCGGCCUCGUUGGACCCCCGGUACAUUGAGUUCUUCACGGGACACGUAUCGGAUACAUGGGUUUACGGGACACGGUCUACCUCCCCUCAGGGAGAAUCUUUUUUAUCAA
rnacentral:misc_RNA from 1 species